CCAACAGGGAUUGCCCUAGUAACGGCGAGUGAAGCGGCAACAGCUCAAAUUUGAAAUCUGGCUUUCGGGCCCGAGUUGUAAUUUGUAGAGGAUACUUUUGAUGCGGUGCCUUCCGAGUUCCCUGGAACGGGACGCCAUAGAGGGUGAGAGCCCCGUCUGGUUGGAUGCCAAAUCUCUGUAAAGUUCCUUCGACGAGUCGAGUAGUUUGGGAAUGCUGCUCUAAAUGGGAGGUAUAUGUCUUCUAAAGCUAAAUAUUGGCCAGAGACCGAUAGCGCACAAGUAGAGUGAUCGAAAGAUGAAAAGCACUUUGAAAAGAGAGUUAAAAAGUACGUGAAAUUGUUGAAAGGGAAGCGUUUAUGACCAGACUUGGACUUGGUUAAUCAUCUGGGGUUCUCUCCAGUGCACUUUUCCAGUUCAGGCCAGCAUCAGUUUUCGCCGGGGGAUAAAGGCAGCGGGAAUGUGGCUCUCUUCGGGGAGUGUUAUAGCCCGCUGUGUAAUACCCUGGUGGGGACUGAGGUUCGCGCUUCUGCAAGGAUGCUGGCGUAAUGGUCAUCAACGACCCGUCUUGAAACACGGACCAAGGAGUCGUCUUCGUAUGCGAGUGUUCGGGUGUCAAACCCCUACGCGUAAUGAAAGUGAACGCAGGUGAGAGCUUCGGCGCAUCAUCGACCGAUCCUGAUGUUCUCGGAUGGAUUUGAGUAAGAGCAUACGGGGCCGGACCCGAAAGAAGGUGAACUAUGCCUGUAUAGGGUGAAGCCAGAGGAAACUCUGGUGGAGGCUCGCAGCGGUUCUGACGUGCAAAUCGAUCGUCAAAUAUGGGCAUGGGGGCGAAAGACUAAUCGA
rnacentral:rRNA from 1 species